rfam:Triticum aestivum genome assembly, contig: Triticum_aestivum_CS42_TGACv1_scaffold_147574_2BS
UUACUACCCCCUCCGUCCGGAAAUACUUGUCAUUGAAAUAGAUGUAUUGUAUUUUAGUUCUACAUACAUUCAUUUUCAUCCAUUUUGAUGACAAGUAAUUCCGGACGGAGGGAGUACAUU